AUGCCCCGAGAGGAUGAAUAUCAUCUGUUUCCAGUUUAAUUAUGUUUUGGAGCAUGGUAUGCUUUUUUCCAGAUGAAUAAAUACUAAGUCUUUUUCACUUCCAGAGGAAAGUCAGGGUUGGAUUCUGAAAUUCAAGUUACCAGACUUAUUAAGUCAAAUUAAAAUGAAAUAUAAAAAGCUGUUUGAUUCCAUUUAUAAAUACUUAUCAGAAUACCACUCAAUGAAAAUUUGAGGUUUUGGAUAAAAAAUUAGAUACAAAAACUGACACCAGAAACCAUAUCUUUCAUCAUUAGCAUGGUUAGAUGGUAUGAUCAGGUAGUUAGAACUAAUGGUUAAAUGGUGUUGGUAACUGUACAGUAUAUUUAUAUAACAUUAAAAACUUUCAAAGCAGUUUUUAUCCAAAUGUUCUCAGACUUUUCAUAUCAUAGACCUUGAAGUUUGUGUAUGCAUGCCAAAAUAUAUACAGUGACUAUUUUAAGCACUAUCACCAUUAAAAAAAGAUUCACUUCAGCCUUCUGAAAAAGCUAAUUUGGCUGGCUCUAUUUAUUUGUUCAUAAGCCAUAAACUUCCUGAUAGAGAUCUUGAAGGAAAAGAACCAACUUGAAAUGGGUAUCAAAAGGGAUUUUAUUGUGAUUACACGAAUUCCCCAAGUACUGCGAUCUAGUGAUAGCAGAUGAGUGCCCCAAAGUUAGCCCACUGCUAACCAAUGGUCACGCUGGAGUUAGACCCUAGGAUUCCUGACUCCUACACCUGUGUUCUUUCCACCUUAUCCCCUUGUCUCCCUCACACGAUCAUUUGAAUUAGCAAAAUGUGCAUGUAAUCUACAAACUUUCUCUUCCGUCUCAGUUUCAAUGAAAGUAGCUGUUAUAUAGAUAAUAGUAUGUGUAUGUGUGUGUAUAUAUAUAUAUAUAUCUCCUGUGGGUUAUUUACACUUGCUUUCUCAUGUGUCCUCUUUCCUCCCCCCACGUCCAUCUUUUUUUAAAAAAUAAACCUCAGAAAAACUAGGUAAGAUAGGCUGUUUCAGUAUGCUUCUGUGAGCAAAUCAGUGAAACGUGUCCAGUGGCAUAGGGAACAGACAGGGCUUUGAUACUUCUCAGGUGCUGUGCUCUUCUCCUG
rnacentral:lncRNA from 1 species